GACGAACGCUGGCUGCGGGCUUAACACAUGCAAGUCGAGCGGAAAGGCCCUUGAGUUGUUGCGUGCUCGAGUGGCCAACGGGUGCGUAACACGUUAGUACCUUGCCCUUGUCUCUAUUAUAACUGCAGAACACUCGGGAUAAUACCGGAUAAGAGCUCCUGCUUCAUGGUGGGGGUUGGAAAGUUUCGGCGGUUUGGGAUGUACUUGCGGGUGAUCCGCUGGAUGGUGGGGUUGUGGCUUACCAGGGCUUUGACGGGUACCCGGCCUGAGAGGGUGACCGGGAACAUGGGGAAAGAGAUACGGCAGAGAGUAGUACGGAAGGCAGCAGUAGGGAAUGUUGCACAAUGGGCGGAAGCAGGAUGCAGCAACGCCGCGUGCGGGAUGACGGCCUGCGGGUUGUAGACCGCUUUCUCCGGUGACGAAGCGUGAGUGACGGUAAUGGGUAAAGAAGCACCGGCUAACUACGUG
rnacentral:rRNA from 1 species